AACGAACGCUGGCGGCAUGCCUAACACAUGCAAGUCGAACGAGACCUUCGGGUCUAGUGGCUCACGGGUGCGUAACGCGUCGGAACCUGCCCUUAGGUUCGGAAUAACUCCCCGAAAUGGGGGCUAAUACCGGAUAAUGUCUUCUGACCAAACAUUUAUCGCCUUUGUAUGGGCCCGCGUUGUAUUAGCUAGUUGGUAGGGUAAAAGCCUACCAAGGCGACGAUCCAUAGCUGAUCUGAGAGGAUGAUCAGCCACACUGGGACUGAGACACGGCCCAGACUCCUACGGGAGGCAGCAGUGGGGAAUAUUGGACAAUGGGCGAAAGCCUGAUCCAGCAAUGCUGCGUGAGUGAUGAAGGCCUUAGGGUUGUAAAGCUCUUUUACCCGGGAUGAUAAUGACAGUACCGGGAGAAUAAGCUCCGGCUAACUCCGUG
rnacentral:rRNA from 1 species